rnacentral:rRNA from 1 species
AACGAACGCUGGCGGCGCGCCUAAUACAUGCAAGUCGAACGAGAAGCUGUAGCAAUACAGUUGUACAGUGGCGAACGGGUGAGGAAUACAUGGGUGACCUACCCUCGAGUGGGGAAUAACCAGCCGAAAGGUUGGCUAAUACCGCGUACGCUUCCCAGUCUACGGGUUGGGAAGGAAAGCGAUGCCGUGGGUAUCGCGCUCAAGGUUGGGCUCAUGUCCUAUCAGCUUGNGGUGGGGUAACGGCUCACCAAGGCAACGACGGGUAGCUGGUCUGAGAGGACGAUCAGCCACACUGGCACUGCGACACGGGCCAGACUCCUACGGGAGGCAGCAGUAAGGAAUAUUGCGCAAUGGGCGAAAGCCUGACGCAGCGACGCCGCGUGGGGGAUGAAGGUCUUCGGAUUGUAAACCCCUUUCGGGAGGGAAGAUGGAACGAGCAAUCGUUCGGACGGUACCUCCAGAAGCAGCCACGGCUAACUUCGUGCCA